rnacentral:rRNA from 1 species
AAGGCCCGCAGCUUAACUGCGGAACUGCAUCUAAAACUGUUAAGCUUGAGUGCAGGAGAGGUAAGUGGAAUUCCUAGUGUAGCGGUGGAAUGCGUAGAUAUUAGGAGGAACAUCAGAGGCGAAGGCGACUUACUGGACUGUAACUGACGCUGAGGCUCGAAAGCGUGGGGAGCAAACAGGAUUAGAUACCCAAGGCCCGCAGCUUAACUGCGGAACUGCAUCUAAAACUGUUAAGCUUGAGUGCAGGAGAGGUAAGUGGAAUUCCUAGUGUAGCGGUGGAAUGCGUAGAU